GAUGAACGCUGGCGGCGUGCCUAAUACAUGCAAGUCGAGCGAACGGACGAGAAGCUUGCUUCUCUGAUGUUAGCGGCGGACGGGUGAGUAACACGUGGAUAACCCACCUAUAAGACUGGGAUAACUUCGGGAAACCGUAGCUAAUACCGGAUAAUAUUUUGAACCGCAUGGUUCAAAAGUGAAAGACGGUCUUGCUGUCUCUUAUAGAUGGAUCCGCGCUGCAUUAGCUAGUUGGUAAGGUAACGGCUUACCAAGGCAACGAUGCAUAGCCGACCUGAGAGAGUGAUAGGCCACACUGGAACUGAGACGCGGUCCAGACUCCUACGGGAGGCAGCAGUAGGGAAUCUUCCGCAAUGGGCGAGAGCCUGACGGAGCGACGCCGCGUGAGUGAUGAAGGUCUUCGGAUCGUAAAACUCUGUUAUUAGGGAAGAACAUAUGUGUAAGUAACUGUACACAUCUUGACGGUACCUGGUCAGAAAGCCACGGCUAACUACGUG
rnacentral:rRNA from 1 species